CUGCGAAUGGCUCAUUAAAUCAGUUAUCGUUUAUUUGAUAGUACCUUACUACUUGGAUACCUGUGGUAAUUCUAGAGCUAAUACAUGCUAAAAACCCCGACUUCGGGAGGGGUGUAUUUAUUAGAUAAAAAACCAACGCCCCUCGGGGCUCCUUGGUGAUUCAUAAUAACUUCUCAGAUCGCAUGGCCUUGCGCCGGCGACGGUUCAUUCAAAUUUCUGCCCUAUCAACUUUCGAUGGUAAGGUAGUGGCUUACCAUGGUUUCAACGGGUAACGGGGAAUUAGGGUUCGAUUCCGGAGAGGGAGCCGGAGGAACGGCUACCACAUCCAAGGAAGGCAGCAGGCGCGCAAAUUACCCAAUUCCGAUACGGAGAGGUAGUGACAAUAAAUACUGAUACAGGGCUCUUUUGGGUCUUGUAAUUGGAAUGAGUACAAUUUAAACCUCUUAACGAGGAACAAUUGGAGGGCAAGUCUGGUGCCAGCAGCCGCGGUAAUUCCAGCUCCAAUAGCGUAUAUUAAAGUUGUUGCAGUUAAAAAGCUCGUAGUUGAACCUUUGGCCUGGCUGGCAGGUCCGCCUCACCGCGUGCACUUGUCCGGCCGGGCCUUUUCUUCUGGGCAACCGCAUGCCCUUCACUGGGUGUGUUGGGGACCAGGACUUUUACUUUGAAAAAAUUAGAGUGUUCAAAGCAGGCCUUUGCUCGAAUACGUUAGCAUGGAAUAAUAGAAUAGGACGUGCGGUCCUAUUUUGUUGGUUUCUAGGACCGCCGUAAUGAUUAAUAGGGACAGUCGGGGGCAUCAGUAUUCAAUUGUCAGAGGUGAAAUUCUUGGAUUUAUUGAAGACUAACUACUGCGAAAGCAUUUGCCAAGGAUGUUUUCAUUAAUCAGUGAACGAAAGUUAGGGGAUCGAAGACGAUCAGAUACCGUCGUAGUCUUAACCAUAAACUAUGCCGACUAGGGAUCGGGCGGUGUUUCUAUUGUGACCCGCUCGGCACCUUACGAGAAAUCAAAG
rnacentral:rRNA from 1 species